rnacentral:pre_miRNA from 1 species
AUAGUACUCCCUCCGUUUUAUAUUAAGUGACUUUUAUUACAUGUAUCUAGACAGUUUUUAGGCAUAGAUACAUUCAUAUUUAGACAAAUUUGAGUCACGUAAUAUGAAAUGGAGGGAGUACUCC